rnacentral:rRNA from 1 species
UACGUAGGGUGCAAGCGUUAAUCGGAAUUACUGGGCGUAAAGCGUGCGCAGGCGGUGAUGUAAGACAGUUGUGAAAUCCCCGGGCUCAACCUGGGAACUGCAUCUGUGACUGCAUUGCUGGAGCGCGGCAGAGGGGGAUGGAAUUCCGCGUGUAGCAGUGAAAUGCGUAGAUAUGCGGAGGAACACCGAUGGCGAAGGCAAUCCCCUGGGCCUGCACUGACGCUCAUGCACGAAAGCGUGGGGAGCAAACAGG